UCCAGAAAAUGAAUCUAAGUUCAGCUUUAAAGAUACCAAAAAUUCAAAUAAACCCCACUGUAGCUUUAAAAGUUAGUCUAAAAAGGUACAGCCUUUUAGAAACGGAUACAACCUUGACUAGAGAGUAAAAUUUAACACUACCAUAGUAGGCCUAAAAGCAGCCAUCAAUUAAGAAAGCGUUAAAGCUCAACAACAAAAAUUAAAUAGAUUCCAACAACAAAUGAUUAACUCCUAGCCCCAAUACUGGACUAAUCUAUUAUAGAAUAGAAGCAAUAAUGUUAAUAUGAGUAACAAGAAAAAUUUUCUCCUUGCAUAAGUCUAAGUCAGUGCCUGAUAAUACUCUGACCACUAACAGUCAAUAAAAAUAAUCCAACAAUAAACAAUUUAUUGAUUAUACUGUUAACCCAACACAGGAGUGCAUCUAAGGAAAGAUU
rnacentral:rRNA from 1 species